rnacentral:rRNA from 1 species
UACAGAGGUCCCGAGCGUUGUUCGGAUUCACUGGGCGUAAAGGGUGCGUAGGUGGCAUGUUAAGUUUGAUGUGAAAGCUCAGGGCUUAACCCUGAAAUGGCAUUGAAUACUAGCGUGCUGGAGGUUUGGAGGGGGACUGGAAUUCUUGGUGUAGCAGUGAAAUGCGUAGAUAUCAAGAGGAACACCAGUGGCGAAGGCGAGUCCCUGGACAACACCUGACACUGAGGCACGAAAGCUAGGGGAGCAAACAGG